rfam:Citrus clementina cultivar Clemenules unplaced genomic scaffold scaffold_551, whole genome shotgun sequence.
GGGUCGAUGCCGAAGCGGUUAAUGGGGACGGACUGUUAAAUUCGUUGGCAUAUGUCUACGCUGGUUCAAAUCCAGCUCGGCCCA